UAGCUAUGUGUGGCAGGGAUAAACGCUGAAAGCAUCUAAGCGUGAAGCCCCCCUCAAGAUGAGAUUUCCCAUUUCUUUAGAAAGUAAGAUCCCUGAAAGAAGAUCAGGUAGAUAGGUUUGGAGUGGAAGUAUGGCGACAUAUGGAGCGGACAAAUACUAAUCGAUCGAGGACUUAACCAAU
rnacentral:rRNA from 1 species